UGGGGAAUUUUGCACAAUGGGGGAAACCCUGAUGCAGCGACGCCGCGUGAUUUAGAAGGCCUUCGGGUUGUAAAAAUCUUUUCUAUGGGAAGAAAAUGACAGUACCAUAGGAAUAAGGACCGGCUAAUUACGUGCCAGCAGCCGCGGUAAUACGUAAGGUCCGAGCGUUGUCCGGAAUCAUUGGGCGUAAAGGGUACGUAGGCGGGUAAGCAAGUUAGAAGUGAAAUCCUAUAGCUCAACUAUAGUAAGCUUUUAAAACUGCUCAUCUUGAGGUAUGGAAGGGAAAGUGGAAUUCCUAGUGUAGCGGUGAAAUGCGCAGAUAUUAGGAGGAAUACCGGUGGCGAAGGCGACUUUCAAGCCAUAACCUGACGCUGAGGUACGAAAGCGUGGGUAGCAAACAGG
rnacentral:rRNA from 1 species